UACGAAGGGGGCUAGCGUUGUUCGGAAUCACUGGGCGUAAAGGGCGCGUAGGCGGCUUUGUAAGUCGGGGGUGAAAGCCUGUGGCUCAACCACAGAAUUGCCUUCGAUACUGCAUGGCUUGAGACCGGAAGAGGUAAGUGGAACUGCGAGUGUAGGAGGUGAAAUUCGUAGAUAUUCGCAAGAACACCAGUGGCGAAGGCGGCUUACUGGUCCGGUUCUGACGCUGA
rnacentral:rRNA from 1 species